rnacentral:rRNA from 1 species
AGAGUUUGAUCCUGGCUUAGGAUUAACGCUGGCGGCAUGCCUAAUACAUGCAAGUCGAAUGGGGAGCUUGCUUCCCAUGGCGAACGGGUGAGUAAUACGUAGGUAACCUACCUUUAGGACGAGGAUAACCUUUGGAAACGAAGGAUAAUACUGGAUAGUAUAGAUUUCCGCAUGGAGAUAUAUUUAAAGAUUUAUCACCUAGAGAGGGGCCUGCGGUGCAUUAGCUAGUUGGCGGGAUAAAGCCCACCAAGGCGAUGAUGCAUAGCCGGACUGAGAGGUUGUACGGCCACAAUGGAACUGAGAACGGUCCAUACUCCUACGGGAGGCAGCAGUAGGGAAUUUUCGGCAAUGGGCGGAAGCCUGACCGAGCAAAUGCCGCGUGAAUGAUGAAGUAUUUCGGUAUGUAAAGUUCUUUUAUCUAGGAAGAAAAACAAAUUGACGGUACUAGAUGAAUAAGCUCCGGCUAACUACGUGCCAGCAGCCGC